GACGAACGCUGGCGGCGUGCUUAACACAUGCAAGUCGAGCGAUGAAGUGCCUUCGGGAACGGAUUAGCGGCGGACGGGUGAGUAACACGUGGGUAACUUGCCUCAUAGAGGGGAAUAGCCUUUCGAAAGGUAGAUGAAUACCGCAUAAGAUUGUAGUUUCGCAUGAAACAGCAAUUAAAGGAGUAAUCCGCUAUGAGAUGGACCCGCGGCGCAUUAGCUAGUUGGUGAGGUAACGGCGCACCAAGGCGAAGAUGCGUAGCCGACCUGUGAGGGUUAUCGGCUACAUUGGGACUGAGACACGACCCAGACUCCUACGGGAGGCAGCAGUGGGGAAUAUUGCACAAUGGGGGAAACCUUGAUGCAGCAACGCCGCGUGAUUGAUGGCGGGCUUCGGAUUGUAAAACUCUGUCUUCAGGGACGAUAAUGACGGUACCUGAGGAGCAAGCCACGGCUAACUACGUGCCAGCCGCCGCGGUAAGAC
rnacentral:rRNA from 1 species